rnacentral:rRNA from 1 species
GCACAAGCGGUGGAUGGUGUGGAUUAAUUCGAUGCAACGCGAAAACCUUACCUACCUUGACAUCCCGAGAAUUUUCUGGAAACAGAGAAGUGCCUCGCAAGAGGAAUUCGGAGACAGGUGCUGCAUGGCUGUCGUCAGCUCGUGUCGUGAGAUGUUGGGUUAAGUCCCGCAACGAGCGCAACCCUUGUCUUUAGUUGCCAUCAUUAAGUUGGGCACUCUAAAGAGACUGCCGGUGUCAAACCGGAGGAAGUGGGGAUGACGUCAAGUCCUCAUGGCCUUUAUGACCAGGGCUACACACGUACUACAAUGGCAGGUACAAAGGGCAGCCACUUAGCGAUAAGGCGCGAAUCCCGUAAAACCUGUCUCAGUCCGGAUUGGAGUCUGCAACUCGACUCCAUGAAGUUGGAAUCGCUAGUAAUCGCAGAUCAGCACGCUGCGGUCGAAUACGUUCCCGGGCCUU